rnacentral:rRNA from 1 species
UGCCAGCAUCCGCGGUACUCCUGAUUGAUCUAUCGUUAUUCGGAAUUACUGGGCGUAAAGCGAGCGUAGGCGGAUUUGUAAGUUGGAGGUGAAAUCCCAGAGCUUAACUCUGGAACUGCCUUCAAAACUACAUUUCUUGAGUUUGGUAGAGGAGAGUGGAAUUCCUAGUGUAGAGGUGAAAUUCGUAGAUAUUAGGAGGAACACCAGUGGCGAAGGCGACUCUCUGGGCCAAUACUGACGCUGAGGUUCGAAAGCAUGGGUAGCGAACAGGAUUAGAUA